rnacentral:rRNA from 1 species
UUGAACGCUGGCGGCAGGCCUAACACCUGCCAGUCGAACGGUAACAGGAAGCAGCUUGCUGCUUUGCUGACGAGUGGCGGACGGGCGAGUAAUGUCUGGGAAACUGCCCGAUGGAGGGGGAUAACUACUGGAAACGGUAGCUAAUACCGCAUAACGUCGCAAGACCAAAGAGGGGGACCUUAGGGCCUCUUGCCAUCGGAUGUGCCCAGAUGGGAUUAGCUAGUAGGUGGGGUAACGGCUCACCUAGGCGACGAUCCCUAGCUGGUCUGAGAGGAUGACCAGCCACACUGGAACUGAGACACGGUCCAGACUCCUACGGGAGGCAGCAGUGGGGAAUAUUGCACAAUGGGCGCAAGCCUGAUGCAGCCAUGCCGCGUGUAUGAAGAAGGCCUUCGGGUUGUAAAGUACUUUCAGCGGGGAGGAAGGGAGUAAAGUUAAUACCUUUGCUCAUUGACGUUACCCGCAGAAGAAGCACCGGCUAACUCCGUG